CUUUCAUUAUUUGCAGUCAUUUAUCUCUUCGUUUCUAAUAGCUAAGUUCUGCAAAAAUGGCGAAUGACUGAAGAUUGAAACAUUUCCAGUGAGUUUCAUCGCAAACAGAUCCGUAUAAGAUUACAUAGUUCAUGUGUGUUGUUUGAUUUAACUAUAGUGGUGUUUUUGUGAAGAUUGACAAGCUUAAAUCAGUAACUGGUUGUUGAAAUUAGGUGGUUUUCUUACAAGAGGAAGACACAAUGUUCGCAAACAUAAUGAGGAAAGAUGUAAAGAACUAGUUAGGGUUUGCAGAGAAGAGAUGAUGCUGGUAGUAGAGUUUUCCCUAAUUUGUUGUUGUUGCAGGAUUGUAAAUCAAUUUUAUAAGAAAUAGCAAACAUAUCUUUAUACAUUUCCGGGGUCUCUGUUGGUUCAGAGAUUGAGCAGAUGAAGAUGGGUUUAAUCUUGAAACCUAGAAAAAUUAGGGAUGGUUUUUUCUCAUUUGAAAAUUUAAAAGGGGUUAUGUGGAGUUAGAGUUCGAGAAGCUACAAAAAUUGUUGGCAAUUUGAGUUUGAGAUGAAUUUAGGGUUCUUCGUGAUAACGGUUUUGAGAUGUUUCUGAUUUAUGGGGAAUUCAUGUAUUACAGAGAAGAUUGAGAAUCUGCUGUUGUUAGUGAAUUCAGAUGAAGGGAGAUGGGUUAGAAGCUACAGGAAUCAGGGAAACAAUAAUGGUUGUUGAGCUGAGUUUGCAGUUGAGCAGGUGCAGUGGCUAUGAGUUGGAAGCUGAGGCCAAGAGCAAAAAUGGUUGUGAGUUGAGCUGGAUGUGGAUGUCAGUGAUUGAAGUCAACAGUGCCUGGUAUUUAUAGGUUGAUGUUGAUGCUGCCAGUAAUGAUGCAGUGGCUGUGGAGACAAUGAAGCUGCAGUUCAGUGAGAUGGUGUAGGGUAGUGAUGAUAGAGUCUGUAAUGGUUUUGAGUAGUGGAUGUUCUGCUGUUGGUGAUUAAGAAGAAGUUGUUCUUGCAAUGAGUUUGUGAUUGUGCUGGUGACAGUGAAGGAAUUGAUAGUGGUUUUCCUGAGAUUUAUGCGAAGUUUGGUUGUUGUGACUGAAUGGAUACUUGACGUCUAUGUAUGAAUCUUUCUAUUGAAUUGCGAAUGCAUAACUGCAGGUGGAAGCAAGAGCUGAGAAAUUGUUGUUGAAUGAAAUGAUAGAUGAAUGUUAGGAUUGAAUGUAGGGAGGCUGGAAGAAUGUGUGUUGCUGAGUUUAUAAGAUUGCAGGGGAGAAUUUGUGUUGAGUUGAUUUGCAGGUAAGGAUUAGUUGUGCCAUGAACUGGUUGGUGGUAAUGGAGUUGAUGCUUUGUUGUAUUUAGCUAAAUUGCCAGAGAAAUGGAAGAAAUGGUGGUGUUUGAUGCAGAAACUGAGAUGGUGGGUGAGAUGGGUUAACUGCAUUUAAAUAGGAUGAGUUAGGAUGGAGGGUAUUUUGGAGAAGAUUAACACUGUUUUUUGCCAAAACCGUUAUGUCGCCCAAAGUAUGAUCAUUUUGUAAGCCAUUUACAAAAGUAUGAUCAUUUUGUAACUGAAUUAUAAAAAGUAUGACCAUUUUGUAAAUGGCUCUUGAUAUUAUUAUGUCCACGCCACCGAUCUUUUAUCUAUACAUAGAGGCCCAGACCAUUCAUUCAUUUAA